UCACCCACCGAGUCUCUACACCAUAUCAUCCUCAAACUUCUGGUCAAGUAGAAAUAAGCAACAGAGAAAUUAAGCAGAUCCUAGAGAAGGUGGUGAAUAGUACAAGGAAAGAUUGGGCUGCCAAGCUCAAUAAUGCAUUAUGGGCUUAUAGGACUGCAUAUAAGACUCCCAUCGGAAUGAGCCCUUAUCGUCUUGUGUUUGGGAAAGCCUGUCACUUGCCAAUGGAGCUUGAACACAAUGCUUUUUGGGCCAUCAAGAAGUUGAAUUUUGAUCUGGACAAGGCCGGCCAUGUUAGAAAGUUUCAGCUCAAUGAAUUGGAAGAAAUUCGACAUGAGUCCUAUGAGAAUGCAAAGCUAUACAAAGAACGUACCAAGAGUUACCAUGACAGGAACAUUCAACGGAAAGAAUUCACCAAAGGUAUGUCAGUUCUUUUGUUUAACUCACGUUUGCGUCUCUUUCCAGGAAAAUUGAAGUCUAGGUGGCUUGGCCCAUUCACCGUGGUCAAUGUAUCUCCCUAUGGAGCUGUGGAGAUUCAAAAUCCUAAAGAUGGCUCAACUUUCAAAGUAAAUGGACAACGUUUAAAGCCAUUCUAUGAGGGAGUGUCAGUUGGAAUUCAAACUGGUCAUGUGGUGGAUCAUCUUCCCUUCGUACAAUCAAGUUAGCUAAUGGCAUAAUGUCUUGCCAAGACAUUAACUAAGGCGCUUCUUGGGAGGCAACCCAUGUGUUGAAGAAUAAGGUGCUUGGUAGCGGUCGACCUAAUCGCAUCAAGAGGGAGUUUCUCUAAUACUUUGUCUUAAACUUUCCCCUUAUUAUUCACAUGUUCUCACUCAUCUUUGUUAUGCUUUAACAUUGAGGACAAUGUUCAAUUCAGGUCUGGGGGGGAGGUUUUCAAUUUUUGUUCAUUUGUGUUUACAAUUUUCAUUCGCUUGUCACUUUUUUUUUUUAUUUUAAAAAAAAUUUAUACAACCAAUGCUAUGGAGCUGCCAUUGAGAUUUUCAUAUCAGAAAUUUUACACUUCACAAAGCUUUUGCUCUUAGAAUUCUGGUGGCUAAAGUAUCAUGCUCAGAUUCUUGAAGGAGAAUAGUGGAGACUACCCUAGUGAGCUAUUUCGAGCCUAAUUGCUUUCUUGAGAGGGUUUAAAGUGUUUCUAUUCCUCAUCUCUACUUAUUUUCUUCAAUUCACUCUAAAUGAUCUCAUUGUUCCAUUUUGGUUGAAUACUAAGGAUGAUUCUCUUUGCAGAUAUCAGGUGCGUGCUAUCACCCAUGAAUGAACUCAUUGAAGUGAUGCUAGGCUCUGCGUGUAUAACCAUUUUCUGUGCUUUCUUUUCACCCUACCCAUUCGUGUGUUCCAUCAGCUCUCUUGCAGCCAAACACUACAAGCCUUUUUCUUCUAUCACCCUCAUAAUUCCCCUAACUUUGUAUCUCAAUCAGAGAUAUUUAACCUAUUAUAGCCAUACCGUAUAGCUUAGAAAUAUACCAAGGUGUGCCAAGAUAAAGUUUGAAGCAAGGAGGUUGCUGCCACAUGCCCAAAUGUAAAUUGAUGUGAAUCUAUGCAAUAAAGUUAAAGAAGAAGUAGAUCAAGUCAAAAAAAAAAAAAAAAAGAUAAAGAGAAAGUGUUUCGAUUUGAUCUAAAUGUGAAAUAUAAAGUCUAUGCCAGAUGAUGCUAUGAAGUUGCAGCCAUACCAUUCUAAAUCAAUGAUACCUUGCAGAUCAAUGAAGAAUGCAACCUUGGUAUGUUCUUAAGUUAGUUGUGUUCCUUCCAAUUCUUCCACUUCCCUUAACCUUAGCCUUUCAUUACAACCUUGUGAAAGACCUAGCUGAUCUUUGAGGAUGUAUUCAUGGGUGCUGGUAUGUAUGUGUGUAUCUCUACUCUUAGUAUUUGAUUCCCUUCAUGAGAUCUAACCAAAUAUUGUGCUUCUAUUUCAUAUACUCACUUAUGCUUGUUUGAGAGAAUAAAACCAUAGGUUCUGAGUGAUUGAGUGCUAGAUGUGAGAAUUAGAGUUGAAGCAUGUUCUUCCUUCAAGAUUUGAGUAUGUUUACUUUGAAGCCGUGUGCCUUUGAGCUAUAGCUUCCACUUUACACACCUAUUGAUCAUCUAUCUUGGUAACUCUAUGGUGUUGGAUGCAUGAUUAAAGUUUUCUUUCAUUAGUUGUUUUCAAAGUUAGUUUUCUAACCUUUUGGUGUUAGAGAGUCAGUAAAGCGUUUGUGGGUAUCGUUUCUGUUAAACCCUCAGGAGACACAACUCUUCCGAUUAGGGAUGCCGAGAGGUUUAAAGGCUUGUUGCAUAUGCACAUUGCAAUCGAGUUACCUACAGAAGUGGUUUAGUUAACUUCUUGUUUUGUUUUCAACUUUAUUCUCUUUUGUUUUGCUCGAGGACUAGCAAAAUCUAGGUCUGGGGGUAUUUGAUCAGUUCACAAUUGUAUAUCAUUUUGUACCCUUCUAGCUUAUGAUUUGGUUAUGUUAUUGAGUCAAACGUGUGCUUUUAAUCCCUUUUCUGUUUAUCAUUCAGUUCAUUGGGCCUUAGGUAGCAAUGGUGUCUUUGGAUAAGAAAAGAUGCAAAAUGGUGCAAAAACGAGCAAACUGGGUUAGCAACUCAUUUCGGCCUUAACAUCUUUCUCCGAACUUGGAUUGGCCCAAAUAAUAUGUAGUUGGAAAGAUGGGAGUCUGAACUUCAAGAUGGACUACUCAAAUGCAUCAGAUAAUGAAGUUGAGCCCAAUUCGUGAGCCCAUAUACACACCAGGCUCAGGAUUGCAGUUUCCAGUUGUUGAGCCUUGGAUACUUUCUUUGAGCCUUGGAUACUUUCUUUGAGCCAUGUGACUCACCACAGCUUUCCUUGACUUUAGACCUGACAUGUUGAGCAAUUUAGGGAGGUGUGUCAGCUACUCAAGUGCAAUUGGAUACUUUCUUUGAGCCAUGUGACUCACCACAGCUUUCCUUGACUUUAGACCUGACAUGUUGAGCAGUUUAGGGAGGUGUGUCAGCUACUCAAGUGCAAAGGAGUCACUCCAUUGACCAAGAAUUCACUCCAGCCAUCCUAUAUCACUUGAUUCAGCCCAAAAUCAUGGGGGAGAACUCCAACAAGCCUUCCUUCCAUUUCCUACGAAUUUGUUCUUUCUCUGCCAUCACCAACCACCGAAACUCAUCCCAAAUCACCUCUUUAGUUGCCAUACUCUAGACAUGAGAAAGUUCUUGGAGUAGCAUUAGACGUGGAGAAGCACCUGGAGAAGCCUUGGAAACCACAAGCAACUUCAGAAUUGGGUUUCUCUACUCUUAUUGCAUUCAAUAUGUUUUCUCAUUUUUGCUUAAGUUUCAUUUCCAUUAUGAGUAGCUAAAUUCAUAACUAGGGCUAUGAUGUAACCUAACAUGAAUAUUCUGGGUUUAUAAGUUGAAGUUUUGAGUUUCAAGUUUGAUUCAUGAUUCAUAUUCCUAUUCUUUAUGCUUAUCAGUUAAUAUGCUUGUUUGGAUGAUUGAUCACCAUUAGAACUUGUAUAUUAGCUACCUUGGUUUGAAUCAAGAGUAGACACCAUGCUUUGAUUUGAAUUGAACUAUGAAUAAGAAAAGUAUGUAUGGACAUUCGACAAUAGGGAUUAGAUACAUGCUUGGUUGUUUAAAUUGUUCUUCUAUGCUUAAUGGGUUCCUAAUGCUUAAUUUAGAUUAGACAACAAAUGAUCAAGUUAGGGAAUUAGGAGCACAGGGUUAGGACCAAACACCAUGGCCUAAUCAUACUUUAGCUAGAAUCAAUCUUUGAAUUCGAAUGAGACUUGUCACUUGACUCCUUAUAACCCAG
rnacentral:lncRNA from 1 species